rnacentral:tRNA from 1 species
GCCUCCUUGGCUCAGUUGGCUAGAGCGCAGGUCUCAUAGAAAUGUGAGGUAGCAUGGCUACAUUAAUCCUGAGGUCGCAAGUUCGAGCCUUGCAGGGGGCA